rnacentral:rRNA from 1 species
CGUGACGGCGCGAGCAGGUGCGAAAGCAGGUCAUAGUGAUCCGGUGGUUCUGAAUGGAAGGGCCAUCGCUCAACGGAUAAAAGGUACUCCGGGGAUAACAGGCUGAUACCGCCCAAGAGUUCAUAUCGACGGCGGUGUUUGGCACCUCGAUGUCGGCUCAUCACAUCCUGGGGCUGAAGUAGGUCCCAAGGGUAUGGCUGUUCGCCAUUUAAAGUGGUACGCGAGCUGGGUUUAGAACGUCGUGAGACAGUUCGGUCCCUAUCUGCCGUGGGCGCUGGAGAACUGAGGGGGGCUGCUCCUAGUACGAGAGGACCGGAGUGGACGCAUCACUGGUGUUCGGGUUGUCAUGCCAAUGGCACUGCCCGGUAGCUAAAUGCGGAAGAGAUAAGUGCUGAAAGCAUCUAAGCACGAAACUUGCCCCGAGAUGAGUUCUCCCUGAGACUUAGAGUCUCCUGAAGGAACGUUGAAGACGACGACGUUGAUAGGCCGGGUGUGUAAGCGCAGCGAUGCGUUGAGCUAACCGGUACUAAUGAACCGUGAGGCUUAACCUUACAAC